rnacentral:rRNA from 1 species
CCUACGGGGAGCAGCAGUGGUGAAUAUUGCACAAUGGGGGAAACCCUGAUGCAGCGACGCCGCGUGCGUGAAUAAGUAUCUCGGUACGUAAAGCUCUAUCAGCAGGGAAGAAAAUGACGGUACCUGACUAAGAAGCCCCGGCUAACUACGUUCCAGCAUCCGCGGUAAUACGUGGGGGGCAAGCGUUAUCCGGAUUUACUGGGUGUAACGGGAGUGUAGACGGCAGCACAAGUCUGGAGUGAAAUCCCGGGGCUUAACCCCGGAACUGCUUUGGAAACUGUGCGGCUUGAGUGCAGGAGGGGUAAGCGGAAUUCCGAGUGUAGCGGUGAAAUGCGUAGAUAUUAGGAGGAACACCGGUGGCGAAGGCGGCUUACUGGACUGUAACUGACGUUGAGGCUCGAAAGCGUGGGGAGCAAACAGGAUUAGAUACCCUAGUAGUC